ACGGGGAUGCUUAUGGAAGGAGUGCUUGCACUUUGGAAAUGAGUAUCUUAGUGGCGGAUGGGUGAGUAACGCGUGGGUAACCUGCCCCAUACCGGGGGAUACCACCUGGAAACAGGUGCUAAUACCGCAUAAGCGCACGGGAGCGCAUGCUCCUGUGUGAAAAACUCCGGUGGUAUGGGAUGGACCCGCGUCUGAUUAGCCAGUUGGCAGGGUAACGGCCUACCAAAGCGACGAUCAGUAGCCGGCCUGAGAGGGUGGACGGCCACAUUGGGACUGAGACACGGCCCAAACUCCUACGGGAGGCAGCAGUGGGGAAUAUUGCACAAUGGGGGAAACCCUGAUGCAGCGACGCCGCGUGAGUGAAGAAGUAUUUCGGUAUGUAAAGCUCUAUCAGCAGGAACGAGACAAGACGGUACCUGACUAAGAAGCCCCGGCUAACUACGUGCCAGCAGCCGCGGUAAUACGUAGGGGGCAAGCGUUAUCCGGAAUCACUGGGUGUAAAGGGAGCGUAGACGGCUGAGCAAGCCUGAAGUGAAAGGCGGGGGCCCAACCCCCGGACUGCUUUGGGAACUGUACGGCUGGAGUGCAGGAGAGGUAAGUGGAAUUCCUAGUGUAGCGGUGAAAUGCGUAGAUAUUAGGAAGAACACCAGUGGCGAAGGCGGCUUACUGGACUGUAACUGACGUUGAGGCUCGAAAGCGUGGGGAGCAAACAAAGUUAGAUACCCUGGUAGUCCACGCCGUAAAC
rnacentral:rRNA from 1 species